rnacentral:rRNA from 1 species
GAUCUUUAUAUAUUAAAUAAUUUAUAAAUAUUAGUUAUAUUUUUUUUUUUAAGUUAUUAAUGUAUUAUAUUGGGGUAAUAAUAAAAUUUAAAAAAUUUUUAUUUUUUAAUUUCAAAUAUAAUUGAUUUUUUGAUCCAAUAUUAUUGAUUAUAAAAUUAAGUUACCUUAGGGAUAACAGCGUAAUGAUUUUUGAGAGUUCUUAUCAAUAAAAUAGUUUGU